CAUUUCAAAUGGAAGCUGGUGUGCCAGUUUAGCCGGUGAUCAUGUUAACUGGUGAUAUUUGCAGAAAAUCUGUGAACAUUCAACAAGGCUCUGCCUACUUUUUAAGAGCGCUCUG